UCUCUUCGAGUCCGUUUGUCAAUCAAUGCGCUGAUAUUCCAUCGUCUCCGGUUCCGGUGGACCAGAUGCCGGCGUCGAGGAACAAUGCUCUCUCUCUCUUUCUCUGGGAUGGCUUUUGUUUCUCUCGUCUGAAGUCUUUACGAUGGAAAUCCUGAUUCUUGGUUGAUUAGUUUUUCUCGAUCACCAGAGCCCAUCAAUCUUCUUUUCUAUUUAUAUCUGAGCAUUCUUGUUGUUGUGUGGUGCUUCUUCGUGCUCGAUUGUUGGUAUUCGUUAUCCUUUUUUCCCCUUUGGGGUUCCGAUGAAUCCAUUGGUACUCCCUCUUCUUAGAUGGCCUCCUUUUUUGUUUUUGUCUGAAACCUUGACAGAGGAAUCUGUUUGACCUUCUUUCCCGAUUCUUUUUCGGACCUUCUUCCGAUUCUUUCUUCACUCUUUUUUUUUUUCUCUUUUCAUCGAAGAGCCUAUCGUUUUUUUUUUCUCCUUUUUCUUUUUUUUUUUUAAAUUGCUUGGUGAUUCUUAGUUCUUAAUCCUUGUUCUAUGAUGAUUUUACAUGCUUGAUUGUUGCAGUCUAGCGGUUCUAGUUUUUGUUCCUCGUUAUGGUUAAAUCUUUUUGACGAUCUCCCCCUUAGAUGGCUUUGCUUCUUUCUUGCUAGGUGUUAUUUACCGUUUCUUGGUUCAUUGUUUUCUGAUGGAUCAUCGGAGAGCCUAUCUUGCGUCUCUUUUUUCUGUUCCCUUGUUUCCCCUGACAUGAUACUGAUAGUUGGUGAUUCUUCAUUCUUGCUUCGUAGUGUUCCUUUUUUCUCUUUUAACUUCGUUCUCGGUCUUCCGUGAUCCCUGUUUCUAUUUUCAUCUGAAUGAUUAUGAGAGAAUCCGUCCGGUAUUCUCUCCGAUCCUAGGUUCAUCGGUCUUUGCCGAUCCUUAGAGAGCAUAUAACACCUCACCUUUAUCUUUUCCCCUUCCUUUGGAUAUUUCACGGGCAUUGAGUUUUGAUACUUGAGGGAAGCUCCUCUGCUCUAGAUUUCGGUUGUUGCACUAUUGAUUAAAAAUGAUCGGGCAUUAUUUCUGUCAGGUUCUGAGACUCUGAGGUGGCGUUUGUGAGAGGAAGAUGGGUGACCUUGGAAUAAAGGAACGUUCUGCGGGGUUGUUUUCGUUGGCAAGCAGGUGAACGAGAUUGUCAAAAGUUUUUUAUCCACAAGAGCUAUGCAGGUUGCUGCAGUCUUCAGCAGUACAGCUACAGUAGUGGAUUUACUCGAGAUUUGGGAGUCCCUUAAUCUGGGACAUAAGAAUCAUGUGAAUUGUUUGGAAAAGGGAAAAUAGAAUGCGUUUGGCUCUGAUAAAGAGAUUUAUGGUAUUCAUCUUGAUGGUGAAAGUCAUAUUCCCUUCAGGCUGCAGCUGAACUGAUAGGUGCCUUUGCACUUGAGGUAGUGUCCACAAGGACUGAUGCUGGACUGCUGUGUCACCUUUCUUUGAACGAUGGAACCAUGACUGCACCUUACUCGGACAUUGGGAAGAGAUGAUGUUGUAAGCCGUAGCAGCCAACCAGCAACAAGUUCGUACCAGGAGGACAAGGAAAACGAAAAAAAAACUGAAGGCGCUUGUAAUUAUCAGAGACCUGCAGUAAUGGCAAGGCGGACAUGGUGAGAAAGCUUUGAUGGGCAAUGUAUAUCAUGUUCUAAAAUUUACCGGCCAUGCAGCAGCAACGUGGUACUAGAUGGAGCGGAAGAUGGAGAACAGCUGAACUCAUUAUAAUGAAGUUUGCAAUUAUCAGAGGCCUGCAAUGCUGACAAGGUACACAAAUUGACUGACCGAGCUUUAAUUGGCGUACUAUAUCAACCAAUAUGUAAAGCAUUUAGGGAAGAAAAGAACAUGGUUCUGUCAAUGUCCACAAGGGCUCUGUUCAUUUGGUAGGGGCAACUUGGCCUGCAAGCAGGAGUACCUGGAGCGUUUUGGAGGUCAGUCAAUGUGCAUCCAAUGAUAGUGGUGGUGAUCUGUUGCCUUCGUGAGAAAAGAAAACUUCAUAAAACGUUCCUCUUCUUUUCCCACAGGAGCACAUGGCAAGAAAAAAAUAAAAAUUGAUCCACCAUUUCUUUUUUAUAGGGUGCUACUUUCUUGGUGUUUUGAAAUGGUGCGGAACUCAAAAACCAGGCUGGCUUGUUGUCCUUUUGUUCAACGUUGUCUGCUUUCGUAAAUGGUUGGCAACUAAUGAUGAACAUGAUUAGGUUAGUUUUAAUUCAAUGAUUGUACCUAGUCUUGCCGAUGGGGUUCCCAAAUUUUCCAGAAAGAAGCAGAUCAAACAAAUAUGGACCUUCUUUUCAAAGUAAAGCAUUGACGGCGGGAAAAUCAGCAUACUAUUCUGUGCAGUGCCGGAGUCUUUAACAGAAAAAGUUCGACGUUGAUCGCUAUCUGGUCAAUAUGAACCCACCGAUGCGUCAUGAAAGAACUUAUGAUUUU